rnacentral:rRNA from 1 species
AGUGAACGCUGGCGGUAGGCCUAACACAUGCAAGUCGAACGGCAGCACAGUAAGAGCUUGCUCUUACGGGUGGCGAGUGGCGGACGGGUGAGGAAUACAUCGGAAUCUACUUUUUCGUGGGGGAUAACGUAGGGAAACUUACGCUAAUACCGCAUACGACCUACGGGUGAAAGCAGGGGAUCUUCGGACCUUGCGCGAUUGAAUGAGCCGAUGUCGGAUUAGCUAGUUGGCGGGGUAAAGGCCCACCAAGGCGACGAUCCGUAGCUGGUCUGAGAGGAUGAACAGCCAACAUGGAACUGAGAACAGGCCCAGACCCCUACGGGGGGAAGGAGUGGGGAAAAUUGGACAAGGGGCGCAAGCCUGAUCCAGCCAUACCGGGUGGGGGAAGAAGGCCUUCGGGUUGUAAAGCCCUUUUGUUGGGAAAAAAAAGCAGCAGGUUAAUACCCCGUUUUUCUGACGGUCCCCAAAAAAUAAACACCGGCUAACUUCGU